rfam:Bacteroidales bacterium KA00251 genomic scaffold Scaffold485, whole genome shotgun sequence.
GUGAUCGUAGUUCAGCUGGUUAGAGCACCAGAUUGUGGUUCUGGGGGUCGUGGGUUCGAAUCCCACCGGUCACC